AGUGAACGCUGGCGGUAGGCCUAACACAUGCAAGUCGAACGGCAGCACAGUAAGAGCUUGCUCUUACGGGUGGCGAGUGGCGGACGGGUGAGGAAUACAUCGGAAUCUACUUUUUCGUGGGGGAUAACGUAGGGAAACUUACGCUAAUACCGCAUACGACCUACGGGUGAAAGCAGGGGAUCUUCGGACCUUGCGCGAUUGAAUGAGCCGAUGUCGGGUUAGCUAGUUGGCGGGGUAAAGGCCCACCACAGCGACGAUCCGUAGCUGGUCUGAGAGGAUGAUCAGCCACACUGGAACUGAGACACGGUCCAGACUCCUACGGGAGGACGCAGUGGGGAAUAUUGGACAAUGGGCGCAAGCCUGAUCCAGCCAUACCGCGUGGGUGAAGAAGGCCUUCGGGUUGUAAAGCCCUUUUGUUGGGAAAGAAAAGCAGCAGGUUAAUACCCCGCUGUUCUGACGGUACCCAAAGAAUAAGCACCGGCUAACUUCGUG
rnacentral:rRNA from 1 species